rnacentral:lncRNA from 1 species
AAAGAUGUGUAUGGGUAAUUCCCUGAAAAGGAAAUCUGAGAGGCUAAUAAGCAUAUAAAAGUAUGUUCAAAGGUUCAAAAGGCUGGCUCUGUGGCCUAGUGGUUAAGUUCAGCAUGCUCUGCUUCAGUGGCCUGGGUUUGGUUCCAGGAUGAGGACCUAUACCACUCAUCGGCAGCCAUGCUGUGGUGGCAACCCACAUGCAAAAUAGAGGAAGGUGGCACAGAUGUUAGCUCAGGGCGAAUCUUCCUCAGCAAAAAAAGAAAAAACAAAAAAAAAACCUUCAAUUUACUAUUAAUUAGGUAUAGUGAACAUGUGUCAUUAUCUUUGGGCCAUUCAGCAUCUGAACCUUUCUUUCUGUGUUUGAGAAAUUCCUCCCUUCGAGCGUCUCUUCUCACUAUGGAAGGCAAAACGUCAAAUACUCAUUUCCCAUCUGCACCCACCCAGGCUUACAUCGGAAGCUGGGGUCACGAAGCAGAGCAGCCUCCAGGACGGUGAUGAGUCAUGGCAGCGGCAGCGCCUGCCUCCCCCUUCUGUGGGCUUCCACCAGCACCCGGGGUCGGCUGUCAGCCGUGUCAGUGUGCGCUCUGACAUCUGGGACUAGCAGCGGACCAGCCCGCUCUUGGCAUGAUCUGCACAUUUCUGUCGGCUUAGCUUUGAGCCUGACGGCCGGCCCUCCCGGAGAUUUUAGCUGCUUGUAAGAAUUUCCUUUGCUGCUUAAAUCAGAAAUCUACUUACAUCAGGGAAAUGCAAAUUCAAACCUCAAUGAGAUAGAUACCCUUUCAUGUCCCCGAGAUGAGGAGAAACAGAUAUCCCUCCCCUGCUGGAGUGGGUAUAAAUUGGGAUGGAUACCUUGGAGGACAAUUUGUUAAUGUCUAAAGAAUUGGAAUGCAGGUACCUUAUGACCCGGAAAUUCCACUUCUAGUCCUGUUCUCUAAACCACAGCUCGCGGAGACAACUGCAAGACUCUUCCUUAGGGCACUAUUUAUAACACCAACCCCGCGCCCCCCCCAAACAACCUACUUUGAGGUCAGUGUGGAAUGAAUAAUAAAUUGCAGUAUAUUCAUACAAUGUAUCAACUAGAACAGCACAUACCAAGAUGGAUAGAUCUUGAAAGCGUCACUUUGGGUGAAAAGGACAGGACGUUGCAGAAGGAUAUGCAUAGUGUACGACUGAUAUGCAUUUGAAGACAUAACACGCAAACACAGAAGAGGAGGGGUAAAACACAGAUAAGGUGGUGGCCAUACCCAUGUUAAUAUCCUGGUUGUCAUGUGACAUUGUAGCUUUGCAUCCCUAGGGGCAACUGGGCAAAGAGUAUCAUUUCACAGAAUUGCACAAUCUACAGCGAAAUCAAUAAAACUUCAUUAAAAGAUACCAAACAAUGUAUAUAUAACUUACAGACACAUGGUGGCUUCUUCUGAGGGGAGGAGAGAAAACGGGAUUUACGAAAGACAGAACGGAGGCUUCAAAUCUUUCUUUUUUCUUAGAAAGAUCUUGAGGCAAAUAUGGCAAAAUGUUAACAUUUAAAAAAUCUGGAUGUAGGUGAAUGAGUGUUUGUAUACCUUUCUUUGCAUUAAAAAAUGGCCGAAAGGUUCAAUGAGAUACUGUUCAUCAAUUAUUUAAGGCAGCGCCUGGCUCAUGGCAGGUGCGCAGUGCAUCUCAGAGUGCUCGAUAAUCCCCGAUCCUAUUAGCCAGGAGGGUAAGGGCUGCUGGUGUUUGGCAUAGCUCCAGAGAAGUGUAUUUUUCUUCAACUCAUCCCCCAAUUUUCCCCCUCUGCUGAGGGAUAUAUCAUCACAAACUCUACUUUCCAAUUCUCAUCACUCAUCUUCAUGAAGGACCACAGUGAAGGCAUUACUCUCGAGGUCCCAACACGAUGGAGCGGAGGGGAGGGGAGCACAGUCUGAGGCCAAGCUGCCGGCUGGAUGGGGCUGGAUGCCUCCGCCGUACACGGGGACACCAGCAGCCCUGCCUCAUAGGGUCAUCCUGAGGACCAAGCGAGCUAAAAUGUGUGGCAUCUCAGAACACAGCCUGACAGCGGGGGUUCUGGUUCCCGCAGGGCACAGCUGGGACCAAGGCGGAAACGCUCCCCACCCUGUGGACCCCGUGAUCUUGUCUGAAAGUCAGCAUUUCUGACCCACGUUACAGCUGAGGAAACAGACUCAGAGAACUUGCCCACUUAUGGCACUUGUCCCGGGGCCCAGGGAGGUCAACAAGGACUGUCAGAUCCCUCCCCCGGCCCUGCGUUUGAAGAAGGUCAACAUCUGAGGAGAGAGAGUCAAGCUGGUGGUUGGCUGAAGGCAGAAGGGGGGCUUGGCGGAGUGAGAUGGGGGAAGUUUGGAGGAUCUGGGCCACAUUUGAUCCUCUGGGUCCAUCUUUCCCUCUUCCCUCCCCUCCCAGCUCUGCGAGCUUAGGGACAGCCCCGUUCAGAUAAAACAUCCUGGAGAAAUGUCUGAGAAACUCAUCGGAGAGAAAAUUCCUUCUCAGGCUUCCCACUAUGUUAGGAAUUUCAGAAGGAAGAUGAGUAAAAAAGCAACCCCAGUUCAUUACUGAAAUGGGUGGGCCGAGAUCGCCAUCUGCAGGCGGCAAGUUUCUUCUGCCGACUUGAAUUCUUUCCAUGAUCCCAAAACCCAAAGGGCACCCCCAGAAAUCACCUCCUCCAGCCUCCACGCUUCACCCGAGGGAAGAUCAAGUCCCCGUCAACUCAGCAUCCCACUCAAGAGCACCCCGCCGGCUGGCAGGAGAAUACUUCCAAAAAAGAUGACUUUCAGUAAUUUUUUUUCUUUUUAAUUCAUUUUAUUGUGGUAAAGUACACACAAGAAAAAACUUACCAUCUUAACCAUUUUUUUAAAGAUUUUAUUUUUCCUUUUUCUCCCCAAAGCCCCCCAGUACAUAGUUGUGUAUUUUUAGUUGUGGGUCCUUCUAGUUGUGGCAUGUGGGACACCCCCUCAGCAUGGCUUGAGGAGCGGUGCCACAUCCACACCCAGAAUUCGAACUGGCGAAAUUCGAACUGGGCCUCCGAAGCAGAGUGCGCUAACUUAACCACUUGGUCACAGGCCGGCCCCUUAACCAUGUUCAAGUGUUCAGUUCUGCGGCAUUGAGCACAUUCACGUUGUUGUGCAGCCAUCCCCAGCGUCCAUCUCCAGGACUUUUUCAUCUUCCCAAACUGAAACUCGGUCCCUUUUAAAUUAACUCCUCAGACCCCCAUCCCCAGCCGCCAGCACCCACCCUUCUACUUUCUGUGUCUGUGAAUUUGACUGCUCCAGGUCCCUCACAUAGUAGAAUCAUAUAACGUUUGUCCCUCUGUGACUGGCUUAUUUCACUUAGCACAGUGUCCUCAAGGUUCAUGGACGCUGUAGCAGGUGUCAGAAUCUCUUUCCUCUUUAAGGCUGAACCAUAUUCCGUGGUAUGGACACACUACAUUUUAUUUACCCAUUCGUCUGUCAACAAACACCUGGGUUACUUCCACUUUUUGGAUAUUGUGAAUAAUGCUGCUAUGAACAUUGGUGUGAAAAUAUCUAAGUCUCUAUAAUUUUUAAUGAACUUUUUUUUUUGGAAUUACUUCAGAUUUACAAAAGAGUUGCAAAGAUAAUUCAGAGAGUUCUCGUAAACCCUAAGGUUCACAUCUUACAUGACCAUGUCACGUUUGCCACAACCAAGAAAUUAACAUUAGUACAUUACUAGUCACGAAAUUCCAGACACUAUUUUAAUUUCACCUGCUUUUCCACUAAUGUCUCAUUUCUGUUCCAGGAUGCAACCCAGACUGCUACAUUGUACCCAGUCAAUGAUUUUUUUAAACUGAUAAUUAUGAACACUACACAGCAAUGUGGAAAAAGAACAUUGGUGAUACAGUGUUAAGAGGGGGGCGGGGGGGGGGAAGUAAAUUAGAAGAUUGUAUCUGUGCGAAGCCAGAUAUUGAAUGCAAAUAUUGAAACUAUUUGUGUAGAGCGUGUCACAGUGAUCUGGUGAGGCAGGCAGCACCACUACCUGCCUUUACAGAUGGAGAAGGCGAAGCUGAGGUCACCCCACCCAGGCCACGGGUCCCUGGUGCCCCCCCCGCUGCUGCGGCUGCUGGUGGCUCUCAGCUGCACCUUGCUCUGGCAGAUUGUUCCCAGUCCACACCCUCAGCCCACAGCUGACCCGUACAGGGUACAGUCGGGUCCCUUGUCUCCAGGUUCCAGGCAUCCUCCAGCGCUCCGAGGACCAGGUGAGGCUAGACCUCAGCCCGACUCCUUCCCCACCCUCCUCUGCCCCCUCACUCCCUGCUCUUUCCCCCCAAGGACACUCUCAGCAAGGAUCCCGGGCCCAGGCUCUGCUUCUUGGCGAGUUGGCCUAAGACAUUGACGGAGGUGGCGAAGCAACUGGCUCCCCGGAGGCCCAGCUGGUGGGUGGGAGCCUCGCCGUCUUCAAUGUCUGACUCGAAAUCUACACGCAGACGCCCUCGGUUCCUGCUUCUCACGGGCAAAGCUUAUUCCAAGGGUCAGGGACACGAAUCCGACAACCGACCCUACGCCGAGGCUCCCUAAUGCUGUGCAAUCACCCGGAUGCCGCCAGCACGGCCGAGCGUCACGGGAGCCUGGACUCCGAGGUGGCCACCAGACGAUUCUAAAUUACACACGUGGCUCACAUUCCACUUUUAUUGGAUGGUGCUGAUCUACUCCGUCCUGGGAGUGAGCUAGGCUAUCACUGGAGAGCAAACUUCAUAAAAAGGACAGGAUCCAGCCACGGCCAGGCGGUGGAAUUAUUCUCCUGUCUCCCCAAGGUCCCGAGUCCCUCUGAAGCAGAGUUGUCUCUCCCAUCAUACAGCCACGGUGGAAGCUUUCCUUCGAGGUCUCCGCAGAGAUAAGCUGACCCAGCUCCACAACCAACUUUGGAGAAAAUCCGACCUCAUCUUGUAAAGCUGAAGAUGCCCAACCCCGGAGCCAUCCGUGCCAGUCCCAGGUUCACGUCCCUCAGAUGCGCCCCUGCACACGCAGGACAGCAUCCCUCACGGCAUUGUCUGCAAUGCCCCAAACCCGAAACAACCAAAUUCCCAGCAACCGGGUAACGGAUGCAGAAGCUCGGCUGCAGUGCCCCGCGGAAAGCUCUUCAGCAGCGAAACGAAGGGCUGCCGCUCUGCCUGCGAAAGUGAAUUAACCUCAGAAAGACAACAGAAAAAAGGGCAAAGUCCAGAGUAAUACAGACAAAUAAGGUUCACAAACGUGCAUUAUGUAGUUUGGUGACAUAGAUGUUAUUAUAUAUAUAAAAAAUAUACAUUAGGGGCUGGUCCCGUGGCCGAGUGGUUAGGUUCUCGUGCUCUGCUGGGGCGGCCCAGGGUUCGGAUCCCGGGCGUGGACAUGGCACUGCUCGUCAGGCCACGUUGAGGCGGCGUCCCACAUGCCACAACUAGAAGGACCCACAACUAGAAUAUACAACUAUGUACGGGGGAGUUUGGGGAAAUAAAGCAGAAAAAAUAUUAUAUAUACACUUUAAAUAUAUAUUGUACGUAUACUAAAUAUAUAGAGUUUAUCAUGCCCUUGUUAUCUUUAUAGAUUUAUAAUUUUAUUAUAUAUGUAUAGUAUUUUUACUGUAUAGAGUAUAAAUAUAACUUUUUCUUUUUGAGGAAGACUGGCCCUGAGCUCACAUCCAUGCCCAUCCUCCUCUACUUUAUAUGUGGGACACCUACCACAGCAUGGCUUGACAAGUGGUGCCAGGUCCACACCCAGGAUCCGAACCGAUGAACCCCGGGCCACCGAAGCGGAACGUGUGCACUGAACCGCUGCACGACCAGGCUGGCCCCUAUAAUUUAUAUUAUAUAUAAACUUAUAUAUUAUAAUAUCUAAAUAUAUGUUUACUAUAUAUAGUAUUUUAUCUCUAUAUGUUUACUCUAUAUUUAUCUAUAUAUAUUUAUUAUACAUAG